rnacentral:misc_RNA from 1 species
UUGUGGCGAAUGUGUGCUGGGCUGUCUGUUCAGCGUCGACGUUGUAUCGGGACUUGACUGACGGGCUCUGCAAGCCUUUCAUUGUGGUACACGUUCCCUGUGUCCUACAACCUCACAGUGACAAGCCAUCUUUGACAGAGAAAGUGGGAACUACUGCGCCGCCCAAAAUUGUUGGAUUUGGAUGUACAUUUGAUCAGUUUCACACGAAAGACGAGGGAGUUUAUCGGAGGUCGUCACGCAUGGGUUGUGUUGAAGUUAUUUACUUUUUAAAACUCACGGAUCCUUUACACUGACGGUAGGUGUACGAGCUCUAUGUAGCCCUACAAACAGAUUUCGUUGGUAUUGUUGUUGAUGUCGCAGUUGUAAACGCUGACGUUUCAACAUGCGGUGUCAGUUUUGUGUAUUGGUUGUGCUGACGCUGUCUGGGGCAGUGUCUAGCUCAAAGAAAGAUAUUCAGAUUGAUGGAUGUUCGUUCAAGAGCGGCGAGUGCUCCUACACCAUACAACUCUCCAACAUUGACGGGUACAGCUGCAAGAGCAUGGUGGGACAACCGCUAGGGCGAAGCAUGACACAGCUCCUUGGGGUCGACGGUCAAGCGCAAAAUGACGUCGUUACCAAAGUCGACUCAAUCAAGGAAAACUUUGAACAGGUUAAAGAAAAACACGAGGUAAGGAUUAAGGAGCUGGAGAACUCUGUACAGGAGUUAUUGGGCACUGACAAACGGCCAUACGAUAGGCGGAAGACCGUCCCUAACUUAACGGGUAAAUCCUCCGCUUCUCGGGACCGGGUUCUGUCUGGUCUGACUCGGAAUUUUGAAUAUUUAAGAGAGCAGAUAAAAAGAAAAGAGCAUGAUUUGCUACAAACAGAGGUAAGGUUAAAUGAAACCCGCAAGUCGUUGAAUGACGCCCAACGGGAAGUCCUAAACGUCAACCAGCGUCUCCUUCACGCCGAUAACAAGAUCGCUUCCCUGACUCCGCGAGAGAUCGAUUCUGAAGAACCAGCUAAAGGACAAAACCUUCAAACUUGGGAAAUCUGAAAAGAAUCUGAAUGAAUCAACAGCGAAAGCAGGGUCGCUUGAAAACCGACUUCUGGGAGUAAUAAGGAGUGAGAAUAUUGCGAGCGAGGAUCUGUCUACUUGUAGGAUUCUGUUGAACGAAUCUGCUGCCAAUAAUCUGAAGGGUAAAACAAGGUACUCCGAGCUGCGACGCCGUCAUGACGUCACCAAACAUGAACUGAAGAUCAGAGAAAGGGAGCUCAUCAACUGCUACUCAGCUAAAACUGCCUCCUUUUGUGGGUUUGAAGACCCUUAUGACUGCGGCUUUAUCCAGACCAACGACUCCGACGUCUUCAAUUUGAUAUACUAGAGAGCCAAGGGGUUGAUAACCCCUCGGGCAGCACCGGGCCUUCUAAAGAUCACACCUGUGAUGCGA